rnacentral:lncRNA from 1 species
AGGUAGCAUUUUCAGCAGCCAAUGCUGCAACUGGUUUUGGAAUAUUUCUAAAAGGUGGACAGUUGAAAGUUUUGAGGGCUUUGGACAAGAAAUCAGCCCAUAAUAAGGGAUUGGAGAAGAGCAAAAAAGAGUGAUCAUGACCACCGCAACCUUUAUCUGGCAAAGUGACGCAGGACAACAAUAAAAUUGUUUUCUACGAUUUAAUCGAUAUCGAAAAAUAGGAUAAAAGUAACCAGAAUGUAGAAUGGGAGGAGAAGUUUGGCUUCCGC